rnacentral:rRNA from 1 species
AACGAACGCUGGCGGCAUGCCUAACACAUGCAAGUCGAACGAGACCUUCGGGCUUAGUCGCGCACGGGUGCGUAACCCGGGGGAACCUGCCCUUAGGUUUGGCAUAACUCCCCGAAAGGGGUGCUAAUACCGGAUAAUGUCUUCGGACCAAAGAUUUAUCGACUUUGGAUGGGCCCGCGUUGGAUUAGCUGGUUGGUAGGGUAAAAGCCUCCCAGGGCGACGAUCCAUAGAUGGUUAGAGAGGAUGGUCAGCUACACUGGGACUGAGACACGGCCCAGAAUCCUACGGGAUGCAGGAGUGGCGAAUAUUGGAAUGUCGGGGGAGUCCUGAUGCAGCAAUGCCGCGUGAGCGAUGAAGGCCGUGGGGUUGUAAAGCUCUUUUACCCGUGAUGAUAAUGACAGUACCGGGAGAAUAAGCUCCGGCUAACUCCGUG